rnacentral:tRNA from 1 species
AGUUAAUAACUUACAGAAAGUAAUAUGUUUUGAAAGCAUAAAAAAGAGGUUUAAUUCCCCUAUUAACUU